AUGCCUGUAACUGCUAAAGGCGACAUUGACAAGGAGGCAAAGGACAGCAAAAAGACACUGCUAAAGCUCUCUGCUGCUGACAACAGUGAGAAGAGUGGCAGCGGAGACAGGCUGACUUUUGGGACCGGGACGCGUUUAGCAGUGAGGCCCAGGACCAGACUGAUGGUAAAACCAAAAAUCAAGGACCCCAACCCCACUGUGUACCAGCUGAGAAGCCCCGAAUCCAGCAACACUUCUGUCUGCCUCUUCACCGAUUUUGACUCAAAUCAAAUCAACCUGACACAAAUUGGGGGGUACGAGUGGAACAUGGUACACAAAAAAGACAGCACCGUGCUCAACAUGGAGAUCCUGGGGUCCAAGAGCAACGGGAUAGUGACUUGGGGAAGCACCAGCGAUUCUGGAUGCACAAACACCUUCAACGAGAGCAUUGAGUUCGUCCACAGCUUCGGAAUCCCCUGUGAUGCCAAGCUGGUAGAGAAAAGCUUUGAAACAGAUGUGAACCUAAACUCCCAAAACCUGUCAGUGAUCGUGUUCCGCAUCCUCCUCCUGAAGGUGGUCGGGUUUAACCUGCUCAUGACGCUGCGGCUCUGGUCCAGUUGAGGUCACCGACAACCUGAGAGCCCCAUGCUCCCUCGCCCCUUGCUCCUCGUCGCCCUUCCUCUCCCUCUUCAAGCAGAGAGGCACACUCUCUGCCCCCGUGGAUGAGAAGGCUCCCUCCUCCUCUCUGGCCUGGUUGGCCAUACAAAAUGGAUCCUCCAGAUACUGGUGAUCAAGAUGCUGACAAGCUGCCCAGCACGGCUGCCACCCACGCUGUUCCUCACUGCUGCUUGUC